UACGUAGGCAGCGAGCGUUGUUCGGAAUUACUGGGCGUAAAGAGUGUGUAGGCGGUGCUCUAAGUUCGGUGUGAAAUCUCCUGCUUAACUGGGAGGGUGCGCCGGAAACUGGGGUGCUCGAGCGUGGGAGAGGAAAGCGGAAUUCCUGGUGUAGCGGUGAAAUGCGCAGAUAUCGGGAGGAACACCAAUUGCGAAGGCAGCUUGCUGGGACGAUACUGACGCUGAGGCGCGAAAGCGUGGGGAGCAAACAGGG
rnacentral:rRNA from 1 species